rnacentral:rRNA from 1 species
AUGUCGGUGUGGGUGCUGGUCAUAAUGGUUGUGGUCGCGGGUGCGAUGGCGGCAAAGCCACAACACCCGGAGAGGCUUACUCCUUGCAAGACGGCGAACAAGUACGGUACUGCGCCCUCGGUGUUGUGUUGCUUGAACCUUUGGGUGCAGAAACAGUUCCUUUGCCUGUACCUGGCUAAUCCGAGGUACCAGCGCUUCUUCGCGGGCAGCUUCGCCCGCAACACCGUCACCUCCUGCGGCAUCCCCCUUCCACAUUUUUUCACGGGGCCUUCUGGCCCUCCAGCAAACGCACCACCAUCUGCAGGCCGUGGCGGGUGCUUCGAGCGCUCCUGGCGCGCAGCUCAACCCCCUCUCCCUCCCUCAGAUCUCAAUCCGCCGCCGCCCCAACCCAAUCCCUACCCCCACGUAGCCCAACCCAAUCCGCCGCCGUCCUCUUCUCCAGUCGCACCGGCGACCUCCAACCUCAUCGCCGGCAGCCCCUCCCCGCUCCUCCUAGAUCCACUCGGGCUACUCAUGUCGUGGCCAGAUCCGGCAGGAACUCCCUCCCUCCCACCUCGCUCCGCAUCCCGAUAUAGACGCACACACAGACAGAGCUUUGGGAGCUCCUGCUCGGCUGCUCAUGGCCAUGGUCCGUGGACGACGCGGACGUGCGCGAGGUGCUGCUGUACCGGGCCAGGCUGGUCACGGCCGCCGCGUGCGUCCUUGUGGCCGAGGCCAACGCGGUCGGCGACGCCGUCUGGCAGGGCGCCGACCUCUUCUACGCCGUCGGGGCCGGGGGGCUCACUCCCCCUCCGCGCGCAGUUCACCGUCCCGGAUCUCCGCCCCGGCACGCUCGACUCCCUGCUCGCGCUCAGCGACGACCUCGUCAUGAUACUUCCUUGCCUCCCAUCCCGAUCUUGUCUCGCACCCCUCUUCUUGCCGCCGGCCUGA